AUGGCACUGUUCAUUUAAAUCCGGUGCUGCAGCUGAUCGCCUACCACGAGCAAAAUCGCCAUAGGGGAGGAGAGAGAAAGGACCGGUAUCCACAGGGAACUCAACUAGAGGUAGCGAGGGCCACCGAAAACAAUAGACGAAGCCCAUUCUCGGCAUAGACCCGAGCCUCCGGAACUCGAAGAGAUAGAACUCAAAACAUAGCGUCGGGAGGAUUAACCAGAAGAAACUCAUGGUGACAGCUUCUCAGUAUAUUAUUGUCUUUGAGGUCUGCCACUAAAGUCAGAGCCGGCACAAAGACCCUGGAGAAGUCACCAUCAAGCCUUCAAUAUAACUCUCUCACUGGAACCAAUACACAACCACCUGAGGCAACAAUACAAAUGUAGCAGUAAUAUAGUGCAGAUCGUCCAAGAAACCAAUCUGUCCAUGGUCCCAUGAGCUGAUAACCCAAAAGAAACCAUAGCCAAAAAAAAAUUUAUAUACAGCACAUCCAGGAUGGGAGGGUGAAAACCCAUAACCAGACCCAGAGAGGAGCUUCCCUUGCCUGCUAGGUAGAGAAAACCUAGGAAAAAAUCCUGGGGAGAACCGUAACAGAGAAUUUUCUCUCUAGAAAAAAAAAACUAGAAAGAGAAAAUUUUAUAUUCUGUUGAAUAGAAUAUAGCAUGACAAACACUUUUUUCAUGAAUUAUAUCCAGAUACUUAAUACAUUGAAUUUGUAACAAGCCCGAUUUAGCAACUGAAUUUGACAACCAACGUAAGGAAAAGUUAAUGAAUGUAUUUCUUUUUGCGUCGGUAAUAAUAAAUAAAUGAUAAACUUUUAACUCCAUUUGCAAAUGGAAUAAAUAUAUAUGCCUGCGUAACUAGCCUGAUUCACCUCUACAUUUCCCUAAAUUUCUGUUUAAUCCUCUAUCUAAACAAAAAAUUGGGCGAGUAUUUUUUGUAUCACAUGAGAAAACUCAAGAAUUCCCUGAUGGCAACUUCUACAGUCCCUUGUUUGGUCAAAAGCUGCUGAAUGCAGGCACCCGUGCCAACCAAUCUUUCUAGGAAAAAUGGGUGUCAAAUAAUUCACAACACCAGCCAGGCGUCAAUUCUUAUAGCCCCUAUCUUUGCGAUGCAGCCCCGAGAUUUGAUUUUAUUCUCUUGUCAAAUUUCAGGCUGCUCAAUAGCUCAUGAGACUUGUUACAAACACAACCAGGAAAAGGAUUUGCAUAGAAGUUCUCUUCCAGCCUCGGUGACUCUCCUGCUUGCCUAAGAUAAGGAGAUCCAAUCCUGUUUGAAUGUAAACUCUUUACCUUUGCAGAGAAUUCUUCCCAAGAUAUUGAACCCUCAUCCAACUGAUCAAUCAGUGUAACAAAAUUUUGUCUGAAACAAAGUAACUUUUUUCAGUUAGAUUAAUUUCAAAAAGACACUACUUCCAGGAUAAAAGAAAACUAAACUAAGAAUAACAACAGGAUAUUUUAU
rnacentral:misc_RNA from 1 species